UGAUUCUGCUGCAGGUGUUGGAGGGCAGUGUGUGUUGUGUGGGGACUGUGUGGACAGGUAUCACCCAGACAGCUUGCACUGACUCCAGACCCUGCUGUCAUGUCACGGGUAA
ensembl:miRNA